CGGGCGGGGCGGGGCGGCGCUCCCGGCGGAGGGAGGGACAGGACGGGAGGGCAGCUGCGGGGAGGAGGGGGCCAGGGCGCCCCGAGUGUUCGCGGGGCAGGGCGGGGCGAGGCAGCUGCGGGGAGGGGGGGUCCAGAGGUCAUCUUGACCAGAACAAUCAGGUGAAACACUACUGACGUGAAAGGAUUUCUAUUUUACCGGACCGAAAUGUUGGGCUGGAACAUUCUCUGAGCCCGUCUCAUGGGGGGAAAGCGUGGCUCUGGGCGAACCGGAGUUCAUGCCACUCAAUCACCAAAGAACCCACGACCCACGUGGGGCACAGCGUGGCUUGAAGUCCGGUCGAGUCACCACAGAGGGCCCAGGUGUCACCCAGGAGCAUUCAACCGGAAAAGAUCUGAUCAUCUCGCCAUCCGGCUCAGCCUCUAACGGGGCAUCAAGUAACUGGGAAGCCCGUGGGAUUGAAACCAGACCUGACAGCACAUCUCCAGAGCCUGCAGCCCACUCUGAACUCCGGGAACCACCGUGCACGAAGCACACAUAGCUUUUGUGUCCGUGCGCUGCUGCAGUCCCACAUCUGGUGGAGAGCCCCCACCUCUCCAGUCUUCAGCUCCCUCCUGGUUUUUCUUGGCAUGACCACAAAGUUGUGGCGGGUCCUGUCCUCUAUUCACACACACUCCAGGUGACCUCACAGAGUCCAGGAUACGCGGUGACUUCCACAGCUGUCUCCAGCCUGGACCUCUUUUGAGACCUGACCAGGUGUCGAACUCGGCAUCACCACUGACGUGGUGAACCAGUAUGUCAAAGCUAACUCAGCCGAAGCGGAACUCAAUUCCCUGCACAUCCAGACAGCAUCCAGCCAAAUCUAGCAGCAGAUCCUCCCGGAACAGCACAAAUCCACUCACUUCAUCCCAGCUCCUGCCUCCUCUCUGGCCUGGUAACACUGACCCAUGAAAUGGACCUCUGCUCCCACUUGGGCACCACUGCCAGCCGAUCUCUGCAGAGCACGUAUUUAAAAACACAAAUGGGGGAACCUGGGGGACUCAGUCGGUUGGGCGGCCAACUCCAUCUCAGCUUGUCUUGAUCUCAGGGUCAUGAGUUCAAGCCCUUCAUUGGGCUCUACGCGGGGCGA